rnacentral:rRNA from 1 species
GAUCCUGGCUCAGGAUGAACGCUAGCUACAGGCUUAACACAUGCAAGUCGAGGGGCAGCAUGUUGGUGUUUGCAACCAAUGAUGGCGACCGGCGCACGGGUGAGUAACGCGUAUCCAACCUUCCCCUUAGUAGAGGAUAGCCCGGCGAAAGUCGGAUUAAUACUCUAUGUUCUUCAAUGCGGACAUCUAAGUUGAAGCAAAGAUUUAUCGCUAAGGGAUGGGGAUGCGUCUGAUUAGGUUGCAGGCGGGGUAACGGCCCACCUGGCCUACGAUCAGUAGGGGUUCUGAGAGGAAGGUCCCCCACACUGGUACUGAGACACGGACCAGACUCCUACGGGAGGCAGCAGUGAGGAAUAUUGGUCAAUGGGCGCGAGCCUGAACCAGCCAAGUAGCGUGCAAGGACGACUGCCCUAUGGGUUGUAAACUGCUUUUAUCAGGGAAUAAAGUGAGGCACGCGUGCCUUUUUGUAUGUACCUGAUGAAUAAGGACCGGCUAAUUCCGUGCCAGCCGCAGC